UGGGAACGUGCCCAAAGGUACGGAAUAACUCCGGGAAACUGGAGCUAAUACCGUAUGCGCCCGAAAGGGGAAAGAUUUAUCGCCUUUGGAUCGGCCCGCGUCUGAUUAGCUAGUUGGUGAGGUAAUGGCUCACCAAGGCGACGAUCAGUAGCUGGUCUGAGAGGAUGAUCAGCCACACUGGGACUGAGACACGGCCCAGACUCCUACGGGAGGCAG
rnacentral:rRNA from 1 species